GCGCCUUGAUGGUACUAAUUGAAUAAGUGACAGCUAACUAUGUGCCAGCAGCUGCGGUAAAACAUAGGUCACGAGCAUUAUCCGGAUCUAUUGGGCGUAAAGGAAGCGUAGGUGGGGAGGUUGAUCCAUUGUUAAAGGCAUUUGCUUGACAAAUGUGUGCGAUGGAGAUCGCCUUCCUAGAGUUAAUCAGGGGGUACUGGAAUUCAAUGUGUAGCGGUGGAAUGCGUAGAUAUAUUGAGGAACACCAGAGGCUAAGGCGAGUACCUAGGAUAUAACUGACACUGAGGCUUGAAAGCGUGGGGAGCAAAUGGGAUUAGAUACCCCAGUAGUCCACGCCGUAACCGAUGGGCAUUAGGUAUUUGACAUCUGGUCGAGUGCUGUAGCUAACGCGUUAAAUGCCCCGCCUGGGUAGUAUAUAUGCAAAUAUGAAACUCAAAGAGAUUGACGGGGACCUGAACAAGUGGUGGAGCAUGUUGCUUAAUUCGAUAAUACACGAAAAACCUUACCAAGGCUUGUAAUCUACUGCAAAGCUAUAGAAAUAUAGUGGAGGCAAUCAGUAAGAC
rnacentral:rRNA from 1 species